CAGGAAGUAGUUUAAUAAGAAUAUUAAUUUUGGAGAUUAAUGGUAGAACGAGGUUUUCUUUCUGA
rnacentral:tRNA from 1 species